rnacentral:rRNA from 1 species
UGUGUAGGCGGUUGUUUAAGUUUGGUGUGAAAUCUCCCGGCUCAACUGGGAGGGUGCGCCGAAUACUGAAUGACUAGAGUGCGGGAGAGGAAAGUGGAAUUCCUGGUGUAGCGGUGAAAUGCGUAGAUAUCAGGAGGAACACCGGUGGUGUAGACGGCUUUCUGGACCGUAACUGACGCUGAGACACGAAAGCGUGGGUAGCAAACAGGAUUAGAUACCCUGGUAGUCCACGCCCUAAACGAUGCAUAUUUGGUGUGGGCAGUUCAUUCUGUCCGUGCCGGAGCUAACGCGUUAAAUAUGCCGCCGUGGGGAGUACAGUCGCAAGGCUAGAA